rnacentral:lncRNA from 1 species
UAGAGUUAAUUAAGAUUUAAUUAAGAUUAAAGAUUAUUUAAGGUUUAUUUGAAGUUCAUUAAAGUGUUAUGAGAUAUUUUUAGAUUUUUUUAAUAUUAAUACAAUGUAUUGAGCAUAAUUAGAAGCUUACUUAGGUUCUUUAAGAUAUCAAAAAGGUAUUUCUAAACAUCUUAUGCAUUAUUUUUAUCUUGUAAAUCUAAUUUCAAGGUAAGACCAAAUCUUAUUAUAGCUAAAUGCCUAGUGGAUUCUCAAGCUAAUUUUUAUAUAACACAAUGCUAAUACUAUAGUCUU